UAAUGCCCUGCAGUUUGCAUUUUAUCAGUUUCUCAAUUUCAGAAAGUAGCUCUUGUUCAAUAUGGGAGAGAGAUGAGUACCUGAACAAAGAGACCUGAACCAAGUUGCUUGGCCACCCCAUGUAAGGGGAGUCAACAAGUGCAUAAACACCACUGGAUCCACAACCAGCAAAAAUGGUGAUCAACACAUGUUCUUUCAUAUUGAAAGGCCCUCGAUUCAAUGAAAACGACCAUGGUGUGAAUGGGACUCGAAUCGGCUUUGAAGGAAGUGUUGCAGCCAUUAACUUUCCUGCUGGGAGCACAAGAAUUUGAGCUGAAACUGAAACAACAUACAGCAUAUUCUGGCGAUAUUGAAAGAAUUGGUUCACAAAGGCAAGCAAGGAACACGAUAUCAUCCCCAGAAACCAUGUUCGAAAGGUUAAAUCUGGCAGCAAAGGAUCAUCAGUGACUUGAACUGUAAGCCUCACUUCCUCAAUAGGGUUAUCAUUUAAUUUCUCAUCUCCUGCGUCAACAAACUUCCAGCUUACUAAAACAUAGGCCAAAGUCUGCAAAAAGCAUUUCUUACAUAUAUAUGCAGCAUUCAUCCAUCAUGCAAGAGAUAGUUUCAAAAUUUAAGUUUCUGAGAGCAUGAAAGUUGGGACCUAGCUUGUUUCAUGUCAAUAAAAACAACAUGAUUUACACCAGUUUAGACGAAGAAGAGUGACAAAGAAAAUUACCUUCUACAUUUAUGUUUGUUGGAGUUUGUUCCUUCUUCUCUGACUCAUGAAGUGACUUGGCAUCAGAGAUUUCAUCUUCAACAAAGCUUCCCAUCUCUCUGCUUCUCUUCUUGGCCAGAGAUGGUAACGCUUAUUAGAUUUAUAAAUGCCUGCAAGGUUACCGUUUAUGGAUGCCAAGCACCUGUCUUGCUAUAGUUUCUUGUUAAAUUUCCACUCGUCAUUAAUUUCCCUUAAGUGAAAGAGUAAAAAAGUCAUUUUGGAUAGAUUUUUCUUCUUUUCAAUUUUUGUUCUUUCUGUUUUC